AUGAAGAAGAUAAGAAGAAAUAAGAAGAAAUAAACUUACAAGUAAAAAAACUAUAAAGAGACUCUUAGAUUGGAAUCUUAUCUUUCUGAUAAAAUAUGGCACAUGAUGGGAAAAGUAUAGAGUUCCGAUCCUCCCCACCCAACACACACACCCAGAAGAUAUAAGAAGUAUUAUAAGAAACAUAAACAGAAGUGACAGAUAACCAUCAACAAAGUUCAAGCUGCCUCUUGCAAAAUUUUUGUCAAAGUACUCUAGCACUGAAAAAAUAAUAAUAUGAAACUCCAGUUCCAAAAAUUGGAAUUUCAAAAAAACUGUUCAUAUCUAAUAAGAAUGUUGGAACUGAAGACCGAGAGCUCAUCAAAUGAUCAUUUUGCAAUGUUUCUCCAGCCAGGUAACAUGGGAAAAGGCAGUGGGCGUAUCCCAGUUAAUAAGAUAUGAAGACUGUUGAAUGGAUAUCACACUUAGAAUCCCACAUGCCUUUGUGCAUAAAAACUAUUUAGGUCAGCUAGGUAACAGAAAUGAAAAGUAGAUGCUGAAACUAGAUAUUUGAUGGAAAAAUAUUCCAGUUCAGGA